AAAAGCAAAUCCAAAAAUGCAUGAAAAUGGAUGCAACAACAGAUGAAAGGGAUUAAAACUAACGUAAUCAAUUGGCAAAUAACAAAAUAACUAAAUAGAAUGUUUCAAAAGUGUAAGUGGAUUAUCAAAAGGACAAAAAAAAGAAAAGAUGAGUGUGGGACACACACUCACACUAUAGCAGAACUGAGGAUACAGGGGUUGGGAAAAUAAAUCUCUAAUACAUUGUGCUACUGAAAAACAUUUUUCAUUAUCCAGUCUCAAGCCUUACCAAUGAAUUUCUAACUAAGAAUGGCCUGCAUCACACUGUCUAUGACAUCAUGCUACUGUACAUGCUGCUAGAAGCAGACAAGGAGGAGUUUGUUUACAACAUGAUGGUUGGAAGAUUGCAAAUUGUCAAAUACUUAAAAUUCUGGCAGGGUUUCAGCUAAGGGAGCAGCAUCUCUCUGGAUAGAGAUUGUACUCCUCUUGAGCUGUCACCAGUUGCUGGAAGGGAAAGAAAAUACAUAGUUUAACUUCAUUAGGUAUUGCAAAGCGAAGUUGACAGUUAAACAGAUGAAAACAAAAUAGCCGUUAUUACGCAGGAUUGCUCACAGCUGUCCUAACCAAGCAUCCAGCGCGUCCUGGUCACUGCAUAAACUUCAAAGCCGUACUACGAAGAGGCCAGCCAGCAGAUUGAAGGGCCUGGCACCUGUUACAUCACGUCUGGGCUAGUGCCUCCAGCUUGGGGCUCCCCAGAAGAAGAAAGUCAAUGGGUGGAGCUAUGGUAUCCACCAGCCUGACAUGUUUAGCUUGGUAAAGAGAAGCCUCAAGGGAAUCUAACAGCAGCUCUCACAAGAGAAGGUUAGCACGAAGAUGGCAGAUUCUUUUCCUACUGAGGUCUGUGGGAGGGAAUAAUACAAGAAACAAAUAGCACAAAUUGAAACAAGGAAGGUUCCAACUGGGUAGAAAAAGUUUUUUCUCUCUAAGGAUCAUCAGCCACUGCAACAGGUGCUGAGAGGUUGUAGAACCUUUGCUCUCAGUCUGAGACUAAACUAAACAGAGUCUUAAGCAACCCAGCCUGAAUUCACCCUUCUUGGAGCAAAGAGUCACACAAAAAGAACUCCCAAGGCACUUUACAACCUGGACAAGUCUAUGCUCUGUCAACUAUCUUGCUCACAACUCCACUGCCAAUUUAUAGGAUGCUUCCUUUUAAUAUUAGUCAAAGCUUAUAUUGUUCCACAAAAGUUAUUCUGGAUUUUUCAUUAGUAUUUGUGUAAAAAAGAAAAAUACUGCAGUGUAGUUACUGAUCUUUGUAAUGAAUGCCUGCUAUCAGCUAGGAAUGCUAGCGUUUCUGAAAGGAAAGACUACAUCAUUUCUGAAUUACAGAGGUUGAUUGUUUAUUAUGGAAGAUUUAGUUUUUCAGAAACUGAGAACAGUGCACCAAUCACAGAACUGAUCCUCCCAGUGCUGACCAACAUGCAAACUUUGGUCCCACAAAGCUAUGCACAAAACACUAUAUUCCCUACCCUCUUCAAAAAUACAUGUCCCCAAACCCACGCUUAUAAUGUCGUAAACCUGCACACCAGAUUCAGAAGUAAAAACAAGAAAAGAACACAGGCAUACAACCUUCUGAGAAGAAAGAUAAGAAUGCAGGGAAUCAAAAUUUACUACUGCAUAUUGCUUUUGUUGGACAGCAACGCAGAAGGCAUGGUGCAUAUAACACAACGCAAAACAGAAUGCAAGCACAGAAUAUAGAGAAGAGCUGGGAUUAAUUAAUAUUAAAUAUACCCUUAUUAUGCAUACAGUAUGUUACUAGGCAAUUUCUAUGCAGAGAAAGAAACAUCAAAACUAAACAUUUACAGCCCUGACACAGGUGCAACUCUGCUUUAAUUAGAGGCAUCACAUUGCCGUGUGGUGAGCCACUCCAGCACAACAGAAUGUUACACCAGCCUGCGCUCGUAUUAUUGUCUAGAACAUCUCUCACACUACUGAAUCAAAGCAAGUACAACCUAAGAAGGUAAAGCAGCACUGACGUUUAGAUGAAAUCCGUGUUUUAAAAUGUUGAGCUAUUUGAUAGUCCCCUGACACUCUUCUUUCUCUCUAAUGCUUUUAUUAUGAUCCUUCUUGAUCUGAAACAGAAAUGUGCAAAAAUAAAAAUGAAAUUUCAUUGAAUGAAACACGUACCAACAGAACCAGACUACCCUGAGCUAUCUGCAAACAACACUUGAAUGACGAUAUACGCAACUGUUCUUUACAGCACAGUGAAGAAAAUAAAAUGCUGUAUAACUCAUCUUUCUAAUUAUUUAUAUUUUUCUCAUUUCAAAAAUAUUACAAUAACUGUUCCUUAAAUCUGAUAUAAAACAAAGAUCAUAAACUGUGGAUUCACUCUUCCAAAUAUUAGUCCAGCAGAGAAGUAAGAAAGACACAGUUCUUCUAAGGAAUGAUCACUGUUGAUUAUUAUCAGUAAUGUGUAAUAACAAUAAAAAAUGAGUAGUAGUAAAAAAAUAAACAGUAAUUAUUAGCAGUAUUUUCAUAACAGCUGCCACUGGGCUGACUACACAAUCAAUGUCAUUUUCAUCAUACUGCUGAAAACAGAACUGAAGCACAGUCAUUAGCUUCAAGUUGUCCUUGGUUGUGACGCAAGCAGCAUUUUAACUGACUUCAUGUAUGUUUUUUUUUUUCCACCUUAUAAAGCAGGCUUUGUUGUCACCUAUCUCACAAGUAAACUGAUAUGUUUAAGAGAGAGUCUUCCAGCCUGACACGUUUAGUUACAGUCAUUACCAGUUCAGAUCAAUUUUACUCCUGCAGCACUGUUUUAAAAGUUUAAUGGGAUGAUCAUUACCCGUGCAUUUGAGCCAAGCACAUGACAAGACAAUCAAUGCUUAGGCUUAUUUUAACUACUUUCACAUACCUGCUUAGACUGUCUUCAAAACAAACAGAAUUUCUACCCGGCUCCCUCAGGCUUACUUCUGACAAGAGAAACUUAGGAGGAUGUUUAUUUUUGCUUCCUGGGCCAAAACCCACCUUAAAACACUUGCCAAACUCAGCUAUUUUUAAUGAAAAACAGCCAAUAGUGAAAGUCCAGUAGUUACAAUGUAUUUUUUUAUGCUAGAAUGCAAACAUAAGUAGGGAUGGAGAUCUCAAGAAAUCAAAAAGUGCAGGAAAAACCUCAUAGUAACUUCAUAUAGGGGAUCCCACUGCCCAGGGAAUGAAAGGUGGAGUUAUCUUUAGCUGUAACUUAGCUAAGAGUUAUAGUACAUACAUAAAUAAUCUAAUCUAAACAAACAACAGUGAUAGAAUUGUGGUAGCUUGAUAAGAAAUAAACUCUGAUUAUUUCAGGGCCAGAAACUAAAAUCCCAGCUCAUAUCAGCAUGGACUUCAAGCAUGAACAUGCUGCAGAACUGGAAAUAUUCAAAUACUAUAAAAAAAUACUUAUUAUUACUCAAAAGACAGAGCAGUCUUUGUUUACUUAGCUACUUCUACAAACUGUUACCAACAAACAUACAGAAACAAAGUCUGCCUCGCAGAGAAAGAAAAGCUAAAUCAGCGUCAACAUAAAUACCUGAGUACCUCGAUAUGCUUUGUGUGGCAUCAUCCUCUGCAUUAAGCCAACUUGAGUCUUUUCUCUACACACAGAAGCCUUCCAUAUUUUUGCUCUACAGAGCCAUGUGAAGCAAUGGCAGGUAUCUGCUGUGUCCUAGUAUACAUUUACCCCUCUCUAAACAUCUUAUGUACAGCCGUUGCUAAUCAUUCUCGUACUCUCAUUCAACAGAAGUUGGGAAUUUCAUGUACCCUUUCACUGCUUGCUUUCAUGUAAUUUCAAAAAAAACCAUACAAAUAAUUUUAGGGCAUUGCAGCAUCAAAAGCACUGGUAUAAUGAAUGGAUUAACCUUCAGAGAGGAGAACUGUUAGGUGCUGUGAAACAAGAGCCUCAUCUAUAAACGCAUACAAACACGUGCUUGAAUUAACCAGUAAUUAAUCAAUGUGGACAAAAUUACUCUCUGGCAUCAAAUAGAUUUGAUAGCUUCCCAUCCAAAACGAGUAACCCGCCAUAAGAAUACAGCAUUCCUGCAUUCUUUGCAAGAUGUUUUGCAAUGUUAGGUUAUAUUGGUCAGCAGCAGGAAAUUUGAAACCAAGCUUACAGAAGAGGCGACUAAAAGUGAUGUCAAAAAGCAGGGUACAAGGAAAGGCUACAAGACAAAAAAUUAGCACAUCCCAGAGCACACAGAAAACCAGGUCAUAGAGGAGGAGAUCCAAGAUUCUAAGACUUUUAUUUCUAGCAGAACUGUAAAUAUUAAUAUCUGUUCUUAAGUGUACUAUCAUGUGAAAAACAUGCACCAGAAAUUAAACCUCACAGCUGAGUACUUGUAUGUUGUCACGCCUAUUCUGUGUUAUGAAGGGAUUCAAUUCCAGACAAAUGAAGUUAUCUUCCUUCUUAAAUAAAAAUGUACACAUUUGCAUCACAUGCUUAUCCAAAAUAACAAAAAGCAAUGAAGAAUCUUAACGAUGAGUUGGACUAACAACAGUGAAAAAUAACAGAUCAUUACACAACCAUCCACUUGCUCUAAUUACCGAUGAAAAUUUCAGACUGGGAAAACCUCCAGUCAUGUUGUACAUUUGUAUGUAAUUAUUCAGCUUAGAAACAUGAUUCUGAAAUCAGAGAUGUUGAAAGAAGAUGUCUCUCUUUCAGGCUCAGUGGUUAACCGUGUUCUGGAAGAAGCAUUUUGCCCCAGGAAAAUGAUGUCGCUCUUCUAUCAAUGAAUAUUUGGCAGCAUUUACACAAGUACUUAAUAAAGCUGUCAUUCAAGUGCAUCUUCCUAUACUGCAGAUUCCACGUAGGUUUUGUCAUUUUUUGUCAUUAAUUUUGAUACUGUGCUAGUGAACAAAUAUCACUUCCAUUCAUGUUGCAAAACAAAAAGGUCAUGUUUCAAUGUCUUGUAAACAAAAAUGCUCACACAAAGUACUUGUUUACUGCCAUAGGAACCUUUCCAAACUACUGGUUUUCUAGUCAGACUUAGCAAAAUGCUUAUCUAAUGUUCUCGAUUUCCAAAUUUCAGAAAAGUCACCCACUCUCUGAAAAAGCAAGAAAGCUUAAAUGCAAUAAAAACCUAAACAAAAUCUAGCAUAAUCUUUGUUUGGGGCAUGCUGUUCUGAAAAAUAUUCACACAAAUAAUGUGACCACCCACAACCUUCAUACAUAACAGUGGCAUUGAUAAGAAUUACAACACAGUAUACAUUUGUAGAAGUGUGGAAGAAAUGACAAGACAAUGUCUUCUGGGAAUGCUGAAUAAUUUCUGCGAUGUUUUGAGGACAAUGCUUGAUAUAACUAAAGAAAAAAACAUGCCCUGAGAAAAGUGCCUGGAAACACAAUCACUGCUUCAGCAACGCAAAGCAUUUGAGACAUUUUUGAAAACACAGGUAUUGGAAAACAUUGAUUUGCCAUGUUAAAAAGUACUUGAAUUUGCUUCCAUGCUUAUUGUAAUCACUUUAAUCUCUAUCUCCACUUGACAAGAACUGUUCCAGGAAACAAAGAGCUACAUUCAGUUGUUGAGAAAUGUAAACCAGCCACUUCCUGAGCCGCACUGCCAGUGCUACCAGCCCACUCAUCCCCAGCACCCACAACUCCUGACUAGUGCAGCUCAUUUCUGAAAGCUUACAUCAGAAGAGAAACUUAGCUCCACUACAAGGACCUGAGUACGUUACUUUCUUUACAUGCAACCUUGCAAAUUGCAAGGGUUUAUCUGCAGGUUUGAAAACUGGUGGGAUAGCGAGGCAAGUGCAUAAGCAUCAGAAAAGUAUAAACACUGACCUAAAUCCUAAAAAUAACUUCAAUAUGUCUGAGCAUUGCUUUAUUCUUAACAAUGCUGUAGAUGAUAUUGUUUAUCUAAUACAGCCAAAAUACAUCAAACUGAAUGUGCCGACGUGUUUAUCUGUCACAAGGGAAGUUUGGCGAAAUUUAAUUCUUUGUUAAAACAUUAAAUUGACUUAUAACAGGUGCAGGUUGACUUUAGCGACCCAUUUUCCAUUAACAUAUAUGCUGAAUCCAGUGAAGUUUUGCUGAACAUGUCCUGAAAUCCUAGAAAAAGUAUAUUUGUUUUCCCCCAAAAUCAUGAUGGCUAUGACAGUACGGGGUUAUUUAUUGCUACAACCAGCCUUCAACUCCACUGAAGUGCACAAGCACAGAAAUAUAGCAGCAGAAGCCCUCACAGGUGCAGACUCUGCUGGAGUCUUGUUUGGCAGAUAGAGUCCACUCUCAGGGCAUAAAUCAGACAGAGAUGACUGCGAUGGUUCAUUUUCCAGGUAUUUUAAAUGCCUCUUCCUCAAAGAAUACUCCAAAACAGCUCAGAAAAAAAGAAGUGUAUCUGCACAGAAAUUUCAUACAUUUUGGCUUGCAGUACAGAUAUCCUUUGCACCUUUUUAAAGUUCUGCUCCCUUACAAACCAAAUAGAACAAACAUCCCAUACCCUGAAAACAUUCUUGUGAGGCAUUGCUAACCUGUCACUCCACCAGCAUGUUCUGCUUUUUAAAAGAGGAUCAUCCUACACUGGCUAACAAAGUUUUUGGCGUGUUCAAUAUAAUAUAAUGAACUAGUCAGUAACUCAGGUAUUUUACCAGCGAUGAAACCAAUCCUGUGCCCAAGAACAAGUUUUCUAUUUAUCACCAGACUCAAUGUAACAUCAAACUGGCCUCUCCCUCCCCCUUUUCAUUGUGUCAAUCCAAUUGGAAAAAGGGCAAAAAAAGCACGAAACAUCCUUCAGUACACAGCCAGAAGUAAUCUAUCCUCUAUGUCACAGUUGUUAUUUCAUACAUGAGUUGCAAAUGUUACAUACCAUGUGGAAACGUACCAUACAGUAAUACACCAAGACAUACACUGCAGCCUGACUGAAUAUUUCUGGCAAAUAAGAUUAAAAUAAAAGUUGAUCAGAAGUCCCAGCGACAGCUACAAACAUUUAACUCUAUAAAAAUUAGCCCCAACUUAAACAGAGAUUACAAACUGUGAAUCAAAACUCCUGAAAAAUAUCCAAGUAUAGAAGCCCAAGCUGAACUCAUCUUUAUGCGCCUUUCUACUCUCCCACCACUCUCCCCCUGAAUCUCAAUAAGCUUUACCCUUCUUUUAACCCAAGAUACCAGCAGUCUCUCCUCCCCUCAUUCCAAAAUGCCAGCACUCAUGCACCUCUUCAGGUUUUAUUUCCCUGUGCAGAUCUUCACCAAUUAUACUGAGCACUUGCUGUUGUCCUAUCUGGGCAGCCAGGGGUUCAAAACGCAAAUGCCAGCCACCACGUUUGUGCACACUGGAGUCACCCAUACCACCACUCACUGCCCAGAAUGUUGUCAGUUAAAAAGAUGUAUGUAAAAAUAAAAUCAGCCCGUCAUACCAUGCACACUCACUGCACGGGAAUGCCAAAUCGAUCCCUGCAGUCUCAAGAUCUGUACCGACCCACACCAGGCACAUCACCAG